rnacentral:lncRNA from 1 species
GUCGCUUUGUUAGUAAAAAAGAAUUUGUCACUUCCCUCAUCUAAACCUUUAAAAAAAAACUGGCAUCGUUGGUCUUGGGGUUAGGGGGUACAAAUGGUACCCAUAGCUUAGAGGGUGCAAAUGGUACCCGUAAGAAGACUUGGUGGAAAUCAUGUUGGUCGUUUGGAUCGGCGAGAAUAAGACAAUUAUGGCGGCAAAGUUUUUUUAAACAUUUUCUCUCCCGUAGUAAGGUAAAGCAUGUAUUUUUCCUGGUAGCCGGUCUUACUUCAUGAAAAAACAGUCCGCUACCAGUGACUAGGUCCCCUCUCUUAUGGCGGUCAUUGCGGCUCAAUACCUUCAGGGAUAUUCCUUUUCAGGGCGGUUGCAUGCGGAUAAUAUGGUCCGUCGCGUGCGCAAAAUAGUUAGGGAGUUAGACAGUUUAGAAGCGUCCAAACUGUGCAAUAUACACUCGCAUGAAACG